AACGUAGGAUCCGAGCGUUAUCCGAAUUCACUGGGCGUAAAGCGCUUGUAGGCGGCAUGGCAAGUUGGAUGUAAAACCUCCUGGCUCAACUAGGAGCGGACGUUCAAUACUGUCAGGCUAGAGGACGGUAGAGGGAGGUGGAAUUCCCGGUGUAGUGGUGAAAUGCGUAGAUAUCGGGAGGAACACCAGAGGCGAAGGCGGCCUCCUGGACCGUAACUGACGCUGAGAAGCGAAAGCUAGGGGAGCGAACGGG
rnacentral:rRNA from 1 species